UGGGGAAUUUUGGACAAUGGGGGAAACCCUGAUCCAGCCAUCCCGCGUGUGCGAUGAAGGCCUUCGGGUUGUAAAGCACUUUUGGCAGGAAAGAAACGUCAUGGGUUAAUACCCCGUGAAACUGACGGUACCUGCAGAAUAAGCACCGGCUAACUACGUGCCAGCAGCCGCGGUAAUACGUAGGGUGCAAGCGUUAAUCGGAAUUACUGGGCGUAAAGCGUGCGCAGGCGGUUCGGAAAGAAAGAUGUGAAAUCCCAGAGCUCAACUUUGGAACUGCAUUUGUAACUACCGGGCUAGAGUGUGUCAGAGGGAGGUGGAAUUCCGCGUGUAGCAGUGAAAUGCGUAGAUAUGCGGAGGAACACCGAUGGCGAAGGCAGCCUCCUGGGAUAACACUGACGCUCAUGCACGAAAGCGUGGGGAGCAAACAGG
rnacentral:rRNA from 1 species